rnacentral:rRNA from 1 species
AUUGAACGCUGGCGGCAUGCUUUACACAUGCAAGUCGAACGGCAGCACAGGGAGCUUGCUCCUGGGUGGCGAGUGGCGAACGGGUGAGUAAUGUAUCGGAACGUGCCUGGUAGUGGGGGAUAACUACUCGAAAGAGUGGCUAAUACCGCAUGAGAUCUUUGGAUGAAAGCGGGGGACCUUCGGGCCUCGUGCUACUGGAGCGGCCGAUAUCAGAUUAGGUUGUUGGUGGGGUAAAGGCCUACCAAGCCUGCGAUCUGUAGCUGGUCUGUGAGGACGACCAGCCACACUGGGACUGAGACACGGCCCAGACUCCUACGGGAGGCAGCAGUGGGGAAUUUUGGACAAUGGGCGCAAGCCUGAUCCAGCAAUGCCGCGUGCAGGACGAAGGCCUUCGGGUUGUAAACUGCUUUUGUACAGAACGAAAAGUCUCUGGCUAAUAUCUAGAGAUCAUGACGGUACUGUAAGAAUAAGCACCGGCUAACUACGUG